AAUCGACUCAAAUGUGCAUCCAACUGUCACGAAGUUGCAAUCACUCAAUCCUAUCGUCUGAUUAGUGGACACUUGUUUGUGGAAAUGGGACCGUUGGAUAUUUUCAAUUUUGACUGUCCAAGAAAUAUCCACCAAUCUGAUGGUAAAAUAAUAAAAUAAAAUAUUUUUUUUGGUUAUGACACAGAUUCAGUGAAUCUAUAAUCUGGACAGUUUAAUUUGACUACUUGUAUACGACCUGUGCAAUUUCGAAGUGCCUACGCUACGUAUCAUCUAUCGCACUCUGCCAGAGUACCAAAGAUUUUCUCAUUCUCGAGGGCUGAUGAACUGGGCUUUUAAAACAAGUGGGGUUAUUUUAUACUCCGGCGGAGGACGUCGCUUGAUAUGCAUAGACUCAAAAGUUGAGCGGGCGCAUGGUUCGAAUGAAGGGGUUAGCCAUCCAAGAGAAAAUGCAAGCAGCUAUCCAUGGCGACUCGCUCCUUCUUCCUUAUUAUCAGACGGAACUGCAAUGACGUCCUCUUCCGCUCUUCCCCUCUCUUCCACUUCGAGAAGAGACCGUUUUCUCGCUCGCUCUCAUCAUCUCCUUCGAGAUUCAAUCCUCCCGACAAAUCUUCACUGCUCAAUGUAUCCGCUGCCUAUGACCUGAAGAGCAGGAUCCUUCGGCUCAGAUCCUCCAAUCGGAGCGCAAUGGACGCGCUUCAGCGAUGGGUAGGCGAAGGCAGGAAGGUGAAACUUCCAGAGCUUCGGAGGAUAGCCGAUGAUCUGAGGAAAUUGAAGCGGUAUGAGCACGCACUCGAGAUAUUGACUUGGAUGGAAGCUCAAGGCAGUUUCCAGAUGUCAGCAGCUGAUCGUGCCAUCAUAUUGGAAUUGAUGAUCAGAGUCCAUGGUCUAUCUGAGGCUGAGGAGUAUUUUGAGACUAUUCCUGACCGUAAUUCACAAAAGGCUGCAUGUCUCCCACUUCUUAAUUUUCAUGUAAAAGAAAGGGCCACCAAGAGAGCUGAAUUGUUCAUGUUAAAGCUGCAGCGCUUGGGGUUGACUGUGACUCCUCAUCCUUUUAAUGAGAUGAUGAAGCUGUACAUGGCCACAUGUCACUUCGGAAAAGUACCCUUGGUGAUCGAGCAGAUGAAACGUAAUAGGAUCCCCCUGAAUGUUCUUUCCUACAAUCUUUGGAUGGGUGCAUGUGGUGCAGUGUCAGACGUCGUUUCUGCUGAGAUGGUGUACAAGGAAAUGAUGAAUGACAUGACAUUGGAUGUGGGCUGGAGCACAUACUCUACCUUAGCCAACAUUUAUGUAAGAUCUGAUCUUGUUGACAAGGCUGCAGCUGCCCUUAGAGCUGCCGAACAAAAGCUAUCAGCAAGUAGUCGCCUUGGCUAUUUCUUCCUUAUCACACAGUAUGCUGCUCUGAAUGACAAGGAUGGAGUUCUUCGGCUUUGGGAAGGAAGUAAAUCAGUACCAGGGAAAAUCACAUGUGCGAAUUACAUGUGCAUAUUAUCGUGUUUGGUGAAGCUUGGUGAUGUUGGUGAAGCUGAGAAGAUCUUUACUACUUGGGAAUCCAAGUGUAGGAAGUACGACAUCAGAGUUUCCAAUGUCCUUCUAGGUGCUUACAUGAGGAGAGGAUGGAUGGAGAAGGCAGAGGCAUUACAUCUCAGUACCUUGGAAAAAGGCGGAUGUCCAAAUUAUAAGACAUGGGAGAUCCUUAUGGAAGGAUGGAUGAAAAAUGAGCAGAUGGAUAAAGUCGUUGAGGCCAUGAAGAAAGGGUUUUCUAGGUUGCGUGAAUGUCAUUGGCGGCCAUCACCUUCGGUUGUGAUGGCCAUUGCCAAGCACUUUGAAGAGCACGGCAGUGUGGAGGACGCAUGCAAGUAUGUAAAGGGUCUUCGUAGUCUGAACCUUGUCAACUUGUCGGUUUACAAGUCACUGCUCAGAGUGCAUAUUCAUGCUCAGAGACCAGCUCUGGACGUCCUUAAGAUGAUGGAAAGGGAUAAAAUUGAUUUGGAUGAGGAGACUUCUGCACUUCUCGAGCAGAUGAGCAAGAUGAACGAUGUACAGGCUUAGUGUCUUCUGAAAAGAGGCAUCAUAUGAUGCUCGAGCCCAGGGUUUGUACGGUUGGCUGCUCACGUUUUCAGUUUGUACAAGUGAACCAAUGGACCAGGGAUCCAAACUGCUGAUACGCCAAACCCCAAUGUGGAUGGCCAGUGAAUAAAAAAUCACCAAGAUGAGAAAACCCUAACCCUUCAAUUGGUGGCCAGCUAAGAAAGAAAGUAUGGAGACAGUCAACUUUCUACCUAAAGAAGUCCAAGCAGUGAACUUACUCUUAGAUGGAGCCUAUGCUUGCAAACAGAAGCUGAAUAGAAAACUGUCCCCUACUCCCAUCCCAUCCUCAAUGUUCUUUGAUUUCUCAAGCUGUUGAGGAAAGGAAGGAUAGUAACUGUCCAAAACCAUGAAGUUGUUUAUCUUCAAUCACAAUUCGUUAGUCAUUUUGGCUUGGAGGAGCUAAAAUGUAACCUUAUUCUGAUAAACUCAAAUUCAUCACAGAAUCCUAACAUUUAACUGAUGAUGCCAGGGAGCGCUCAUGGAAACUGCUGUUGAUGGCAACUUGGCAAGCAAUUUGUCUCAAGGGGCAAGAUCUCUUUCACAAUGUUGGCAUCAAGGUCAUCUUGGAACCACACAUUGAACAGCAGUAUGCUCCCUUCAUCAAUCAUUGUCAAGCUGACUGUUUCUUCCAUGAUUGGAACCCAAUAAGGAAUCCAACCAGCUACAAUCUCCACAAAAACUAAUAUUCCCACUGAAGAUCUUUUCGAAGUCUGCAGAUUCUCACGAGCUUCUUUCAUGGCUAUCCCCUCUUCCUCCCCUUGCUUAGAGAAAGCACUGAUAAUUGCUGGGAAGCACUGUGGUUAAGAAACAGCAGCUUGAUGUUCUGGGGCUUAGAUUCGGAUAGGAGGGAGUUGCUCCUUGUCUCUUUCAAAUAGCCAGUUUGCUCAGAGACCACGGAUGUUGCUGAAUAAACCAGUAUCAUGGCUUUUCUGCAAAUAAACAUUCAUUGGGACAUUUUCUUUGACAACUAAACUAUCAUCAUCAUUCUUAAGCCUAGACUUUGGUGGAGUAAGGUAUCCAAAAUCUCACAAGCUUCAUUCUACAAGAAUUCUUCUUUAGAAAGAUAUAUCAAUUCAAAUUGAUGGAUAUAAACAUGCCAAGGUCCUCUCAUAAGGAUCGUCUGGCUGGAUUGGUUGCUGUUUCGAUGUUUCAUCAAUGUAUUUGAUCAUCAUGGGAGACGGGUAUCAGCUUGUGAUAUUGCACAAGCACAGAAACCUUCUUGUAAACUGGAUUUCAUUGCAAGGGGAGGGAAGCGGGAACUCAUCUAGUGUAGUGUUCGUGGAUGCAUUCUUAUUUGAUAGCCUUCAGUUUCAAACCCAUUUCACUUUAAGGGCCUAUUUGGUUUUCCAAUUUCCUAUGAAAUGCAAAGUAAAUGAGCCAUCAUUAUCAUCUCUAGGUGUUUGUUUAAAUAGGAAAUAUGGCUCAUAUAUCUAGUCAAAUACACUUGUAAAGGUAGGUAAAGUAAAUUGUAAUCAUUACAUUAUCACAUCAUAAAACUACCAUUUCUAUAGUGAUUUUUGGGUGGAACAAACAACGUAGCAAAAUCAUCUGCAGUCAAAUGUAAGUGAUGUCACCAUACAAUUACAAGAAUAAAUCAUCAUUACUCAUUUACAGCCAUUUAUGAUGCGGGACAAUUAACCACUUGCUCUAAAAGCUCGAACUGUUAGAGUAUGACGAAUUAAUCCCUUUAUCUCAUAGCUCAAGCCCCACAUCUCAUGGGUUAGGACCUCAGCCGAACCCCCCUCGUGGGCCCCAAAUCACAUGGGCCACCCACCCCGAGUAUGUCCCUGCAUCCCACGGGCUACCCCACUUCAGCCCGGUGUGAAAUGCCCCUGCAUUAAUCACCCUCGGUGAGGAGUCUUGAACACAAGAUCUCCCCCGUGGGCCCCAAAUCACAUGGGUCACCCACCCAGAGUGUCCCCGCAUCCCACGGGCUACCCCACUCGAGCCCGGUAUGAAAAUGCCCCUGCAUUAAUUACCCCCGGUGAGGAGUCUCGAACACGAGACCUCCCACUCUGAUACCAAUUUGAUGCAGGACAAUUAACCACUUGCUCUAAAAGCUCGAACUGUUAGAGUAUGGCGAAUUAAUCCCUUUAUCGCAUAGCUCAGGCCCCACAUCUCAUGGGUUAGGACCUCGGCCGAACCCCCCUCGUGAGCUCGUGGGCCCCAAAUCACAUGGGCCGCCCACCCCGAGUGUGUCCCCGCAUCUCACAGGCUACCUUACUCAAGCCCUGUGUGAAAUGCUCAUUAAUCACCCCCGGUGAGGAGUCUCGAACACGAGACCUCUCCCGUGGGCCCCACCCACUCCAAGUGUGCCUCCGCAUCCCACAGGCGACCUUACUCGAGCCCAGUGUGAAAAUGUCCCUGCAUUAAUCAUCCCCGGUGAGGAGUCUCGAACACGAGACCUCCCGCUCUAAUACCAAUUUGAGGCAGGACAAUUAACUACUUGCUCUAAAAGCUCGAACUGUUAGAGUAUGGCGAAUUAAUCCCUUUAUCUUAUAGCCCAGGCCCCACAUCUCAUAGGUUAGGACCUCGGACGAAUCCCCCUCAUAGGCUCGUGGGCCCCAAAUCAAAUGGGCCGCCCACCCUGAGUAUGUCCUCGCAUCCCACAGGCUACCCCACUUGAGCCCGAUGUGAAAUGCCCCUGCAUUAAUUUACCUUUGUAAUUGGAAAACCAAGCAGGCCCUAAGAGCAAAGUGCUUACCCUCACCGCAUUAGCUAUGGUCCUUAGCCCUUCCUUUACUUGAAAGAUAAAUGCUAGUGUAUAGACAAGAUGUAUAUUUAUUCUUUUUAAUUUUUGUUGA